rnacentral:lncRNA from 1 species
AGAAGAGUAGACCAUACUUUAUAAACACAUAGGUACGCACAGGUCAGUAAUUUCAGCUCAGGUAAUUGGAUAGGUCUAAUCUUUGAUGAAAAGCAGAUUUGGAGAGUAUAAAAAUUCAGAAUUGCGGAUCACAUUUUCAGUAGACAUUUUUCUACAUUCUCAGGCACCCCACCCCCAUUCCUUGGUCAAGGUUGUAGAGAACCAGAGAGAACUGCAGUGGAAAUAAUUUGUAAGGCGUUUUAUUCCAAAUUCUUCAUUUUAUAUCCCAGGACCCGAGUGCCUGCCACAAUUGAAUAUAUGGCUUUCUGAUAUGCCAGUUAAACACGAUUCUUUGAAAUGAGGAAUGCAUUACUACUCCGCGACAAUUGACAAAACGAGGCUCUUCACUGGGUCUCACCCAGCCUCAUGCUUCGCUCCCGCUCGCCCACAGCUCCUGGACUUUGUCUUCAGCCCCACUGUCUCUCGGCUUCGGUCUAGUAUAUGCAAUUGUCCGCUUGGCGUUUCACUAGGACGUCGGUGUCGGAUCCUUCAAACCUCAUGCGUUCCAAGUGGAAAUCAUCACCUUCCCUGCUCCUUCCCUGAAACUGCUGCCAGCUCAGCUCAGCACUGUCCUGAGAUGACUGUAAUGCGCCAGCCAGCAGGCAGAGGGCAGCAGCACCCGGACAAUCCUAUGCUGGGCUUGUGUUAGACCCAGGCCAGCUGGGUCUGCUGGGUUGCCUGUGAGUCAGCUGCCUGGG